UACAGAGGGGCAAGCGUUGUUCGGAAUUACUGGCGUAAAGGGCCAGUAGGCGGCCAACUAAGUCCGACGUGAAAUCCCCAGGCUUAACCUGGGAACUGCGUCGGAUACUGGAUGGCUUGAAUUCGGGAGAGGAUGCAGAAUUCCAGGUGUAGCGGUGAAAUGCGUAGAUAUCUGGAGGAAUACCGGUGGCGAAGGCGGCAUCCUGGACCGAAAUUGACGCUGAGGCGCGAAAGCCAGGGAGCAAAGCGGG
rnacentral:rRNA from 1 species